rnacentral:rRNA from 1 species
GAUGAACGCUGGCGGCGUGCCUAAUACAUGCAAGUCGAGCGAACAGACGUGGAGCUUGCUCCUCUGACGUUAGCGGCGGACGGGUGAGUAACACGUGGAUAACCUACCUAUAAGACUGGGAUAACUUCGGGAAACCGGAGCUAAUACCGGAUAAUAUAUUGAACCGCAUGGUUCAAUAGUGAAAGACGGUUUUGCUGUCACUUAUAGAUGGAUCCGCGCCGCAUUAGCUAGUUGGUAAGGUAACGGCUUACCAAGGCAACGAUGCGUAGCCGACCUGAAAGGGUGAUCGGCCACACUGGAACUGAGACACGGUCCAGACUCCUACGGGAGGCAGCAGUAGGGAAUCUUCCGCAAUGGGCGAAAGCCUGACGGAGCAACGCCGCGUGAGUGAUGAAGGUCUUCGGAUCGUAAAACUCUGUUAUUAGGGAAGAACAAAUGUGUAAGUAACUAUGCACGUCUUGACGGUACCUAAUCAGAAAGCCACGGCUAACUACGUG